CCUACGGGAGGCAGCAGUGGGGAAUAUUGGACAAUGGGCGAAAGCCUGAUCCAGCAAUGCCGCGUGAGUGAUGAAGGCCUUCGGGUCGUAAAGCUCUUUUACCAGGGAUGAUAAUGACAGUACCUGGAGAAUAAGCUCCGGCUAACUCCGUGCCAGCAGCCGCGGUAAUACGGAGGGAGCUAGCGUUGUUCGGAAUUACUGGGCGUAAAGAGUACGUAGGCGGUUAUUCAAGUCAGAGGUGAAAGCCCGGGGCUCAACCCCGGAACUGCCUUUGAAACUAGAUAACUAGAGUCUUGGAGAGGUUAGUGGAAUUCCGAGUGUAGAGGUGAAAUUCGUAGAUAUUCGGAAGAACACCAGUGGCGAAGGCGACUAACUGGACAAGUACUGACGCUGAGGUACGAAAGCGUGGGGAGCAAACAGGAUUAGAUACCCUGGUAGUCCACGCCGUAAACGAUGAUAACUAGUUGUUCGGUCACUUGGUGACUGAGUGACGCAGCUAACGCAUUAAGUUAUCCGCCUGGGGAUACGGUCGCAAGNUUAAAACCNCAAAUGAAUUGACGGCUGAGACGNGCGACGACGACGACGAGGGAGUAG
rnacentral:rRNA from 1 species